CGCUGGCGGCGUGCUUAACACAUGCAAGUCGAACGAGAGGACAAGAGAAGCUUGCUUCUUUUGGAAUCGAGUGGCAAACGGGUGAGUAACACGUAAACAACCUGCCUUCAGGAUGGGGACAACAGACGGAAACGACUGCUAAUACCGAAUACGCUUGGGAGACCGCAUGAUCUUCCAAGGAAAGGGUGGCCUCUACUUGUAAGCUAUCGCCUGAAGAGGGGUUUGCGUCUGAUUAGGCAGUUGGUGAGGUAACGGCCCACCAAACCUACGAUCAGUAGCCGGUCUGAGAGGAUGAACGGCCACACUGGAACUGAGACACGGUCCAGACUCCUACGGGUGGCAGCAGUGGGGAAUCUUCCGCAAUGGGCGAAAGCCUGACGGAGCAACGCCGCGUGAGUGAUGACGGCCUUCGGGUUGUAAAGCUCUGUGAUCGGGGACGAACGGUCCGUAAGCUAAUACCUUAUGGAAGUGACGGUACCCGAAUAGCAAGCCACGGCUAACUACGUG
rnacentral:rRNA from 1 species